rnacentral:lncRNA from 1 species
AAGGACAAUGGGAGGUAAGGGCUUCACAUGAAUAGUGUUAGCCCUAGCCAAAGGCAAAGUGUGUUCAAAGGGCAAUUACUAUUCACUUUAAAUUUUUUUUAUUUUUUAUACAUAAAUGAUUAAUUUUUAUAGGGUUUAGGGUUUGGUGUGGGAAGUAAAGAACAUAGCUAGGUAUUUAUUUUUAUAAAUAAAAAAAUCUGAAUUUUUUGGUAUUUUUUUCCUCUUUUUUUUCACUUAUUAUUAUUAUUAUUUUAAUUGGUUGCUGACGUCAUUAUGGCAUCAGCAUUACGUCACUUGCUCAUGCAGUAGCAUGAGUUGGAUUUACCUAUGGGCUUGCUUGGGUUGGUGGGCCCGACGCCUUGCCCGGGUUGCAUUUGGUGCUGGAACCAUGAAACGGGCCUCAGUCCCCCUCCUGCCCGAGCUGGCCCUGUGCACUGGAAGUGCUCUUAUAAGUCCAUGUUAGAUCCUUUAACUUUUUAACGUGGGACAAAUACUCUUAAUAGUUGUAGUGCGAGGGAGAAAAUCCAUUAUAUAGAUAAAAUAUUUAGGCAUUUUCUACAUGUGGGCUUUCACAUGUGCCAUGGAUUGGCUUAUCCAAUGGGGUUUUUUUGGGACUUCUUAAAUAUAGGUCCAUUUUCAUCAAGAUGUAAUGGAUGUAGUCCACAUGCCCUCACUUUUCAAUUGCGGUCCACUCUCGCCAAGUAAGGAAUUAAUGUGUACAUAAUUUUUAAGGAAUUGACAUUAUAUGUCACUAUCAUAAAUGGAAUUAUAUGAAAACACAUUCCUAAAAUUCAGCAUUUCCUUAUAUAUAUAUAUAUAUAUAUAUAACACAAUUGAGUGGUCAAAUGGUAUUGCAUUCAAGUGACUUUUGUAGAGAUAAUAUUUGAAUGAUUAUCUAAAACGUAGAUGAUUUGGAUUAUUGAAAUACAAUGCGAAGUGGGCCCUACAAAGGUGUCCUUCAAAUAAGCUAAGUUGAGGAAUCCCUCAAUGGAAGCUCUCUGUAUAUAUAUGUGUAAUGUGUGUGUGUGUGUGUGUGUGUGUGUGUAUGUGUGUGUGUGUGAGUGAGUGAGAUCGCCUGCGCCCUCGCAUGUGCGCGUACGCGUGUGUAUAUAUAAGUUUCCUUACAUAUAUAAUGCAUUUCUUUGUAUAUAUAUGUACCUGCCUUACAGGUAAUAAUUUUUUUUCUUGAAUUUUCUUAAGCAAUUUUUUCUAGAGUUUCCUAUAUACACACACACCUGCCUUCCAAGUAAUAGCUUUU